rnacentral:rRNA from 1 species
AUACGUAGGUGGCAAGCGUUGUCCGGAUUUACUGGGUGUAAAGGGCGUGCAGCCGGGGAAGCAAGUCAGGUGUGAAAUGCAGAGGCUUAACCUCUGAAUUGCAUUUGAAACUGUUUUUCUUGAGUACUGGAGGGGCAAUCGGAAUACCUAGUGUAGCGGUGAAAUGCGUAGAUAUUAGGAGGAACACCAGUGGCGAAGGCGGAUUGCUGGACAGCAACUGACGGUGAGGCGCGAAAGCGUGGGGAGCGAACAGGAUUAGAUACCCUGGUAGUCCACGCGGUAAACGAUGAAUGCUAGGUGUAGGGGGUAUCGACCCCUUCUGUGCCGGAGUAAACGCAAUAAGCAUUCCGCCUGGGGAGUACGGCCGCAAGGUUGAAACUCAAAUGAAUUGACGGGG